rnacentral:rRNA from 1 species
CACGAACCGUACGAACGUUAUUCGGAAUUACUGGGCUUAAAGGGUUUGUAGGCGGCCUUGUAAGUCAGGUGUGAAAGCCCUCGGCUCAACCGAGGAACAGCGCUUGAUACUGCAAGGCUUGAGGGAGACAGGGGUAAGCGGAACUGAUGGUGGAGCGGUGAAAUGCGUUGAUAUCAUCAGGAACACCGGUGGCGAAAGCGGCUUACUGGGUCUCUUCUGACGCUGAGGAACAAAAGCUAGGGUAGCGAACAGG